rnacentral:lncRNA from 1 species
UUGCCCGACACUUCUCCUUCCUUCUCCUCCAUCGACGGCGUCGACAUCCCCUACUCCUCCAUUGACGGCGACGGCAUCGCCUUCUCCUCCAUCGACAGCGACGCUCUGCUCCUCUUCCUCCCCACCACCGCUGCUGCCGUCGCUGACUCCUUCCUCUCCCGCAGAGGUAUGAAUCCGCCGCUAACUCCUUCCUCUCCAUUUGGUUUUCUGAUGCUGUUUAGAUUAGGGUUUGACUCCAUUGAAUUAGGGUUGAACUGAUUGGAUUAGGGUUUGAUUAGGGUUGUUGGAUUAGCUUUUGAUUAGGGUUGGAUUAGGGUUCUUGUCGCCGCUGUUGUUGUGUUGAACUAAGCUUAUUAGGGUUGGAUUAGGGUUGGAUUAGGCUUCUGCUCAAGUCAAGAGGAUAUGGUUCUCCACUUAUGUACUUCUCUCUGAUAUGGGUUGGAUUAUGGUUAGUGUUGAUUUAUAGAUAUAGGUAUGUUCAUUUAUAGAUAUGGGCAGAUAUGCCUUUUAUAGUAGACAUGGGCAGAUAUGGUCCUUUUAUAGUAGCAAAAAUUUUUGCCAAUGAGAUUGAGAUUGAAUAUUUGCGCAGUGUGACUGAACAUUGUGUGGUUCAAUUUAUAUGUUCAUUUAUAGAGAUUGUUUUCUGUUUCUUUCAAUGAUUUGUGUGGUUCAAUUUCUGAAGUAAACUGGAGAUGUUAGAAAUUUGAUGGUUGCUAUCCAUAUAUCUCCACUUAUGAACAUAUCUGUCCAAAUUUGAUAGUUUCUGAACAUGUGCCUUAAUACUUUUUCUGUCAUUUGGUGUCCAUGGAUUGAAAUGUUGGCUGUAAUAUAUUGAUUGUAGUAUAUUUGUGCUUUAAUACCUUUUCUGUCAUUUUUGCAUGUUAAUUCAGUGUUUGUGUUGAUUUGAUGCCAAUGUCCAGAAACAAUAUUUUGAUGGAUGGGUUUAUGUGUUCUGCAAAUUGAGGCCAUUGCCAUUUAUAGUAGAUUUAUAGAUAUGUUCAGAUAUGUUUAUGCCAAUAUUCAGAUAUGGAUGGGUUUAGAUAGGGAUAUUUUCUGUCAUUUAUGCCGAUGUUUAGAUAUGUUCAUUUAUAGAUAUGGAACAAUGUCCAGUCUUGUUUAUAGUUGUGUCCUGUUUAUAGCUUUUGAUCCAUUUAUAGUAGAUAUGGUUCAAGCUGUGUUCUGGUCCAUUUAUAGUAGAUUUUAGUGCUGUUGGUGGUCACCUGAUGAUGUUGCUGCUGUUGUUGUUAUUCUCGUUGGCCCUGGCAAACACAUGUAGUAAAUAUCCUACUUUUUUGAAGUGCUUGUUUCCUAUUUAUGUACAGUACUGUUGUUUAAUUUACAAUGCUGCUUUUUAGAGAAGUGAGAUGGCUAGCUUGGAAGGUUUUGAGUUCUUCGAGAUCGUAAUUGAGAAAUCUUGCAGUAUGCAGGUAUAUUUAUCAUCACUCAUUUCUUUAUCUUUACUCUGCUGUCUAGUGCUUGAUUAGCACAAUUAACCACUACUUGACGCUGACCUCGCGAUGGUGGUGCCUGACGAUGACCUCGUGACAGUAGUGGCACCGGCGAUUCCACAGCUGGGCGACAUGACCAUGUUAAUUGUGGUAGAGGAGUACAUCUGCGUCGGCAUUUGCCACUCUGAGCGCAUCAGGAUGAUGAAGGAGAAUAAGGAGAAGAACGAGUGAAGAUGUUAAGAAAUCAAGUGGGAAUGUUAAGUGGCAAUGCCAGGCUUAGUUUGAAUUUUGUGCACGCUUAUGCAUGCUUAAGUAUGAAUAUUACGUUUCUUAAUUAUGAAUAUUCAGUUUGGUAAUUUAUGGUAAUUGAUAUUUUGUGCAUGCUCAUGGAUGAAAGAUGAAAUUAUGGGUUUUUGUGCAUGCUCAUGUAUGAAACAAUAUAAGUU